AGGGGUGUGGCUACACAGGUAGAGCAUAUGCUUUGCAAAUCUGAGGCCCCUGGUUCGAUCCCUGGCACCACUU
rnacentral:tRNA from 1 species